rnacentral:rRNA from 1 species
UCGAGAAUCAUUCACAAUGGGGGAAACCCUGAUGGUGCGACGCCGCGUGGGGGAAUGAAGGUCUUCGGAUUGUAAACCCCUGUCAUGUGGGAGCAAAUUAAAAAGAUAGUACCACAAGAGGAAGAGACGGCUAACUCUGUGCCAGCAGCCGCGGUAAUACAGAGGUCUCAAGCGUUGUUCGUAAUCACUGGGCGUAAAGCGUGCGUAGGCGGUUUCGUAAGUCGUGUGUGAAAGGCGGGGGCUCAACCCCCGGACUGCACAUGAUACUGCGAGACUAGAGUAAUGGAGGGGGAACCGGAAUUCUCGGUGUAGCAGUGAAAUGCGUAGAUAUCGAGAGGAACACUCGUGGCGAAGGCGGGUUCCUGGACAUUAACUGACGCUGAGGCACGAAGGCCAGGGGAGCGAAAGGG